UUGAAUUAGGGAGUGAUAUGGUCAAACCUAUGUUUUAGGAAGAUCACUUUGACAGUGUAAUAGAGAGAGAAGGAGGGGACUUAAAAGAUGCUGGGACCAGAAAAACAGCUGCUUUUGGGGACUGAUUUCUGGGUAGCACCUUCCCUUUUCCUCCACUAAGCUGGACAGCUUUAAUGGAGUCAGUCCUGAUCAGACCAGAGGGUAUUUCUAAAUAAGUGAGAGAUACAGUCAUCAAGCUUGAGGAUGCUCCAGUGUUCACUGUUGUACUGUCAUUUCAGCACUCAUCUCCAGUGGAUAGCUAUUGUAGAAGAAGAAAAAAAAAGAGGGAAGUCUUCCCACUUCUGAGUUCCCUAAGACUGACUGAGCCCUUAGUCAACAACAGUAUUGUUAGCAUCAUAGUGCUACCUGGUUAAAACCAUUCUGGAAUGUCCUGAUUCUGUUGGUUAGCUCAACAAGACAGUAAUAUUAAUGGAAAGACAGUAAGAGAACACUUCUCACUAAGAUGGCCACCUAAAUGGGUUUAGCUCUCCUGUAUCUACUUCAGCAAAACCUUGUAGUUCAUACUAGAUCAAAUAAUGAUAAAAAAAAUCAAAUGAGAAGUCACUUUAAGUGAUUUCUUACACUCUAGGAGGACAUAAAGAAUAAGUGAUAAUUCAAUAGGUAUGAAAAAAGGAAGCCCUGCUAGCCAAGAGAGAACUGGCUCUACAAAAGAUGGGCUACUUAUAAUCUGUGUCUAGAGACAGCAAGACUGGAGGGAAGAAAGAAGAGUUUUACCCUCACUUUGGCUGGAGGUCAAGCCCCUGGAGGCUCAUUAAGGAUUAUGACAGUAUUAGAAAGCAGGUAAAGAAGGACUCUCCAUUAAAAGCACCCAUGACCCUUUAUCCAAAACCCUUUGAAAUAAAUAUCAACAGGGGCAGUUAUGUGACACAAUGAAUAGAGACUCAGGCCUGGAAAUGGAAGGUCCUGGGUUCAAAUAUGACCUCAGACAUUCCUAGCUAUUUUACCUUGAGAAAGUCAUUUAACUCCAUUUGCCUAGCCCUUGCCUUUCUGUCUUAGAGUUGUCACAAAGACAGAAAGUAGCAGUUAAAAAAAAGAAAUACCAAAUACUUGCAUGAACUGGUAGGCAUAAGCUUUUGGUGGAAUCUGAAUG
rnacentral:lncRNA from 1 species